CAUCUAGGCGGUCAAUCAAGUCGAAGGUGAAAGCUUGUGGCUCAACCAUAAGCUUGCCUACGAAACUGAUUAACUAGAGUACUGGAGAGGUGGACGGAACUACACGAGUAGAGGUGAAAUUCGUAGAUAUGUGUAGGAAUGCCGAUGAUGAAGAUAGUUCACUGGACAGAAACUGACGCUGAAGUGCGAAAGCUAGGGGAGCAAACA
rnacentral:rRNA from 1 species